AGCCUGUGAUGAGGAAAGAAUAAGAGUAGUGGACAGAACUGGUUUCUGAGACCUUUAUUCUGAGGCU
ensembl:snoRNA